rnacentral:rRNA from 1 species
GACGAACGCUGGCGGCGUGCCUAAUACAUGCAAGUUGAGCGCUGAAGGUUGGUACUUGUACCAACUGGAUGAGCAGCGAACGGGUGAGUAACGCGUGGGGAAUCUGCCUUUGAGCGGGGGACAACAUUUGGAAACGAAUGCUAAUACCGCAUAAAAACUUUAAACACAAGUUUUAAGUUUGAAAGAUGCAAUUGCAUCACUCAAAGAUGAUCCCGCGUUGUAUUAGCUAGUUGGUGAGGUAAAGGCUCACCAAGGCGAUGAUACAUAGCCGACCUGAGAGGGUGAUCGGCCACAUUGGGACUGAGACACGGCCCAAACUCCUACGGGAGGCAGCAGUAGGGAAUCUUCGGCAAUGGACGAAAGUCUGACCGAGCAACGCCGCGUGAGUGAAGAAGGGUGUCGGAUCGUAAAACUCUGUUGGUAUAGAAGAACGUUGGUGAGAGUGGAAAGCUCAUCAAGUGACGGUAACUACCCAGAAAGGGACGGCUAACUACGUG